CUGCUGCCUCCCGUAGGAGUCUGGGCCGUGUCUCAGUCCCAAUGUGGCCGUUCAACCCCUCAGUCCGGCUACUGAUCGUCGCUUUGGUGGGCCGUUACCCCGCCAACUGGCUAAUCAGACGCGAGCUCAUCUUUGGACAAUAAAUCUUUGGCAACAGAACCAUGCGAUCCCGUUGCAUUAUGCGGUAUUAGCAGCCGUUUCCGGCUGUUAUCCCCCAUCCAAAGGCAGAUUGCUCACGCGUUACU
rnacentral:rRNA from 1 species